AACGAACGCUGGCGGCAGGCCUAAUACAUGCAAGUCGAACGCACCGCAAGGUGAGUGGCAGACGGGUGAGUAACGCGUGGGAACCUUCCUAGUAGUACGGAAUAACUUCGGGAAACCGUAGCUAAUACCGUAUAAGCCCUCCGGGGGAAAGAUUUAUCGCUACUAGAUGGGCCCGCGUCGGAUUAGCUAGUUGGUGAGGUAAUGGCCCACCAAGGCGACGAUCCGUAGCUGGUCUGAGAGGAUGAUCAGCCACACUGGGACUGAGACACGGCCCAGACUCCUACGGGAGGCAGCAGUAGGGAAUAUUGGACAAUGGGCGAAAGCUUGAUCCAGCCAUGCCGCGUGAGUGAAGAAGGCCUUAGGGUUGUAAAGCUCUUUUGGCGGGGAAGAUAAUGACGGUACCCGCAGAAUAAGCCCCGGCUAACUUCGUGCCAGCCGCCGCCGUAAAAC
rnacentral:rRNA from 1 species